AACGAACGCUGGCGGCAUGCCUAACACAUGCAAGUCGAACGAGAUCUUCGGGUCUAGUGGCGGACGGGUGAGUAACGCGUGGGAACCUGCCCUUUGGUUCGGAAUCACAGUUGGAAACGACUGCUAAUACCGGAUGAUGACGAAAGGCCUAAGAUUUAUCUCCAGAGGAUGGGCCCGCGUAGGAUUAGCUAGUUGGUGUGGUAAAGGCGCACCAAGGCGACGAUCCUUAGCUGGUCUGAGAGGAUGAUCAGCCACACUGGGACUGAGACACGGCCCAGACUCCUACGGGAGGCAGCAGUGGGGAAUAUUGGACAAUGGGCGAAAGCCUGAUCCAGCAAUGCCGCGUGAGUGAUGAAGGCCUUAGGGUUGUAAAGCUCUUUUACCCGGGAUGAUAAUGACAGUACCGGGAGAAUAAGCUCCGGCUAACUCCGUGCCAGCAGCCGCGGUAA
rnacentral:rRNA from 1 species